CGCUGGCGGCGUGCUUAAUACAUGCAAGUCAACUUGACUUAGAUAGCAAUAUCGAAAGUAGGGUGGCGCACGGGUGCGUAACGCGUAGGUAAUCUGCCCUGAGGUCUGACAUAACCCGUCGAAAGGCGGGCUAACAUCAGAUGAUAUAUAGUCACGACAUCGUGGAAAUAUCAAAUCUUCGGAGCCUUGGGAUGAGCCUGCGUCUGAUUAGGUAGUUGGCGGAGUAAUAGCCCACCAAGCCUACGAUCAGUAGCUGGUCUGAGAGGAUGAUCAGCCACACUGGAACUGAGACACGGUCCAGACUCCUACGGGAGGCAGCAGUAAGGAAUAUUGCUCAAUGGGGGAAACCCUGAAGCAGCAACGCCGCGUGAAGGAUGAAAUACUUUUGUAUGUAAACUUCUGUAAGAUGGGAAAAAUAUUCUCCUCGGGAGAAUUGAUUGUACCAUCAGAGUAAGCCCCGGCUAACUACGUG
rnacentral:rRNA from 1 species